GACGAACGCUGGCGGCGUGCUUAACACAUGCAAGUCGAACGGAAAGGCCCUGCUUUUGUGGGGUGCUCGAGUGGCGAACGGGUGAGUAACACGUGAGUAACCUGCCCUUGACUUUGGGAUAACUUCAGGAAACUGGGGCUAAUACCGGAUAGGAGCUCCUGCUGCAUGGUGGGGGUUGGAAAGUUUCGGCGGUUGGGGAUGGACUCGCGGCUUAUCAGCUUGUUGGUGGGGUAGUUGCUUACCAAGGCUUUGACGGGUAGCCGGCCUGAGAGGGUGACCGGCCACAUUGGGACUGAGAUACGGCCCAGACUCCUACGGGAGGCAGCAGUGGGGAAUAUUGCACAAUGGGCGGAAGCCUGAUGCAGCAACGCCGCGUGCGGGAUGACGGCCUUCGGGUUGUAAACCGCUUUCGACUGUGACGAAGCGGGAGUGACGGUAAUGGGUAAAGAAGCACCGGCUAACUACGUG
rnacentral:rRNA from 1 species